GCGGAGGGCCGGAUGAUCGCCUGCGAACUGCUGACGCAGUUCGCACGGAGGAAAGUCCGGACUCCACAAGGCAACGGUGCCGGGUAACGCCCGGCCGGGGCAACCCGAGGGAAAGCGCCACAGAAAACAGACCGUCCUGCAUCUUGCCAAGGCAAGACGCAUGGAUAAGGGUGAAACGGUGGGGUAAGAGCCCACCGCGGGACGGGCAACCGGACCGGCACGGCAAGCCCCACCGGGAGCAAUGCCAAAUAGGGACCGCGCGCGGGGGCGACCCCGCAGGCGCGUCUUGGCCCGGCGGUCCGGGUUGGCAGCUAGAGGGGUAUCGGUAACGAUGUCCCAAGAUGAAUGAUCAUCCAGGGGAAUGCCUGCAUUCCCCGGACAGAAUCCGGCUUACAGGCCCUCCGCGCAU
rnacentral:RNase_P_RNA from 1 species